AACGAACGCUGGCGGCGUGCCUAACACAUGCAAGUCGAACGAGAAAGCGGGCUUCGGCCCGCAAGUACAGUGGCAGACGGGUGAGUAACACGUGGGUAACCUGCCCGGAGGUGGGGAAUAACCUCCCGAAAGGGAGGCUAAUACCGCAUGAUAUCUCGAAGGUUCGCCUUCGCGAUCAAAGCUUGCCUCUACUUGUAAGCUAGCGCCACCGGAGGGGCCCGCGGCCCAUUAGCUUGUUGGCGGGUAACGGCCCACCAAGGCGACGAUGGGUAGCCGGCCUGAGAGGGUGAACGGCCACACUGGAACUGAAACACGGUCCAGACUCCUACGGGAGGCAGCAGUGAGGAAUCUUGCGCAAUGGGGGAAACCCUGACGCAGCGACGCCGCGUGGAGGACGAAGGCCUUCGGGUCGUAAACUCCUGUCGAGCGGGACGAAUGCCGCGGGGAUGAAUGAGCCCCGCGGUUGACGGUACCGCUGGAGGAAGCCCCGGCUAACUCCGUG
rnacentral:rRNA from 1 species